rnacentral:rRNA from 1 species
GACGAGGGAUCCUAGCGUUGUUCGGAAUUAUUUGGCGUAAAGGGUGCGUAGGUGGCUAGGUAAGUCGGAUGUGAAAUCCCGGGGCUCAACCCCGGAACUGCAUUCGAUACUGCCUGGCUAGAGUACUGGAGAGGAGAUUGGAAUUUACGGUGUAGCAGUGAAAUGCGUAGAUAUCGUAAGGAAGACCAGUGGCGAAGGCGGAUCUCUGGACAGUUACUGACACUGAGGCACGAAGGCCAGGGGAGCAAACGGG